rnacentral:misc_RNA from 1 species
UCCGAGUUGUCCCCGGCAGUCUCCUUAGAGUCCCCGCCAUUACGCGCUGGCAACUAAGGACAGGGGUUGCGCUCGUUGCGGCACUUAAGCCAACACCUCACGGCACGAGCUGACGACAGCCAUGCAGCACCUGUGCUAGCCCCUUACGGACACGGGCUUUCCUGUGCAGUUCAAACCCAGGUAAGGUUCUGCGCGUUGCUUCGAAUUAAACCACAUGCUCCGCCGCUUGUGCGGGUCCCCGUCAAUUCCUUUGAGUUUUAGCCUUGCGGCCGUACUCCCCAGGCGGAGUGCUUAAUGCGUUAGCUGCGGCACAGAGAGGGUUGAAGACCUCCCCACACCUAGCACUCAACGUUUACGGCUGGGACUAC